rnacentral:rRNA from 1 species
GACAGAGGGUGCAAACGUUGUUCGGAAUCACUGGGCGUAAAGCGUGUGUAGGCGGCCAUACAAGUCGGAUGUGAAAGCCCUGGGCUCAACCCAGGAAGUGCACCCGAAACUGUGUGGCUUGAGUACUGGAGAGGUUGGUGGAAUUCUCGGUGUAGAGGUGAAAUUCGUAGAUAUCGAGAGGAACACCGGUGGCGAAGGCGGUUCUCUGGGCCUUACCUGACGCUGGAGGAGCGAAAGCGUGGGGAGCGAACAGG